rnacentral:lncRNA from 1 species
UUUCUUGGAACCAGCAUCAUCAGAAACUCAUCAGAACAUGUUUUUGAUGGGGGGCGGGGAGUUGGCAAAGAAAAUACUAUGCAUGAAAGUUGUUCUGCAAUGCACCUUUAUCAACACUACAAAGUGCUCAAAAUGGAAUGAGGAAAAGAUCUGAGACAACACUUGGAUUUUACCUAGGUGGAAAACAUGGAAAAAACUGGACUUGGACAUGAGGAAUUACAGAAUUGCCAAGGAGAAUAUUAAUAAUUAAGUUUGGGGUGGUUUUUUUUAUUCUUAUCUACCAAAACGUUCCCCACACGUGACAAGCAUUCCCAUUUCUCAACCAGAGACACUGAGGCACAAGAACCGACUUGUCUAAAACGACUCGACGCGGCAGACAGGAAUGGCAGCCGAGCCCCGAGCACCCACAUACCAGGCUCCUCGGUAAACCCCUCCUCGUCCCCCCAGCAGCACCUCUCGUGUCGAGGCAGAUGUCUGGGGCUGAGGCGAGGGCUGCUGUCCGCUGGCGCCGGCGUCGCCCUCCUCGGCGCUGCAGGGCCGCCGAGGGCGUCCAUCUUGUUUCACCUCAGGUAAGCUUGAACCUCCCUGCCCUGUCCGUGCUGACAGGCCUAACGGAACAUGGCACCGUCGACGCUAAACCGAGCCGCAGGCAGCGCGUAAUGCUGCACGGCGAACGCGCAGCGCGAGGGGUGGUGGAGGGGUCUCCGGAGGGCAUCGGAGUGUGCUUCUGCUCUCAAAUAAUUGCCAAAAGAUAGUCACCUGUCUCUUCUACUUUGGCUAUGUUUUUGUGAUACAAAUGCUGCGUAAUCUCUGUAGCUAUCUGUAGUAAAGGAGCUGGGAUUCAAUCUUUUUACCUCAGUAUAUACAGUAAGAUUCUCUGUUCAUGUGAAUGGGUUUGCUGCAACUGAAGGCAGAGAUUUGGGGGUUUUUCUUGUCCUGAAUGAUUGACCUGUGCCUGAAAAAUGUUAAAUGUGAUGUUCUUA